GGGGACGUGGUGAAAUUGGUAGACACGCUGGUCUUAGAAGCCAGUGCCUCUGGCGUGAGAGUUCAAGUCUCUCCGUCCCCACCA
rnacentral:tRNA from 1 species